GCCAGUGGUCAUGAGAGACCAUGUGAUAGAAGGGGACAAGCAGGGCCUUCCUGGACAGAGAGCCCUGGGUCUGGAUCCAUUCACAUCACCUAAGUCUUAAUCCCCCCAUCUGAAUAACAGGUCCAGGAAUUCCCAUCACAGAGCCUACUGAGGUGUAGUACCUACUUCAAAGCACUGCAGGACUCAAUUCACCGAGCAAAGCAAUGAACCUGAGAGGGAGGCUCACCCUGCAGGUUCUCAGCAACUGACAUCUAAAAACCGGAGGCCGUGCCAAUUGUGGGCAGAUGGGCCUCUCUGGUCCCAUGGUGGUUGUCCCAUCUGUAUCCACACCUGCAUCCACGGGAGGAGAAGGAACAUGGAGUAGUAACCUGUAACUGUAGACGGCCAGGCUGCACAGGCUCUAUCAGGGCUUCCUGAGGCUGAGGCCCAUUCUCUGAUGCUGCCCAGCAGCUGUGCAGCCCAAGCACACAUCUGCCAGGGCCCGGCUUCCUUUCACAAGCUAGAGUACCGGGUGGGCUCUUGUCCUGCCCACACCCCCUCCAGUGCCACCACAGGGAUGAUCAUUUGCUUCUGGGCUCUGUCCUAGACUCUGACAGACAUGGCAAGGGAUGUUGCCAGGGACAAGAGUUGGUUUAGAAUUGCGGGAGGAAAAUCCUGAUGGAAGGGUCAUGCACCAGGGACCCACUCUGUGGCAGGACUUUCUCAGUGUCAUUUCACACUGACCACCGCUGUCCCAUGAGUUGUCCUAGGCCUGAUCCCGGAGCCAGGUCUGUUUGGAGGAGAACCACGCCCUGGACUCACUGAAGGUGGUUUUUCCUUUGGCUUACCCCUGAAGCAGCCAGAAACUGAUCAAAGGGGAGAAUCCAGAUAUGAAUAUAGCAGCCACCAGCACCUUUGAGGACUGCCAAAUUCUGUACUCUUCAUUGGCAAGACUUCUCACUAUCCAGUGCCACUUUCCAUCAAAGGUAUGCUGCCGCCACCCAUACCAGACAGUUGCCCUUCCCUGCCGUUCCGGUUUCUCCCAUUCCAGCACGGAGCACGCCUGAGGCUGCCUUGUGUGGUGCAGGCACUGAGCCAGGAAGAUGUGCGUGUGAAUGCUAGCUCUUAGGUUACUCACCAGCUGAGUGGCCUUGGCCAAGUCACUGCACUCUGAUGCAUCCCUGCACUCUGAUGUUCUUCUGGCUGAACUAGGUCUAAGACCAGGACAUGGGCUUCGGAGAGAAGAGAGAGCUGGCUGGCCUCAAGGAGCUUCUCCCUUGACCCCUUUUCAGCCUUGCAUCCUUACCUGCAUAAUGGGAACAGCAUCUCCUUCCUCACCAAGACUGUGGGAGUGAUUGGAGUAGAACAUCUAGCAGGGAGGGCCUGCCAAUUGUCUUUUUUUUUUUUUU
rnacentral:lncRNA from 1 species